rnacentral:rRNA from 1 species
AGCAGCCGCGGUAAUUCCAGCUCCAAUAGCGUAUAUUAAAGUUGUUGCAGUUAAAAAGCUCGUAGUUGAAUUUCGGGAUCAAUAUGUUGGUCGUGCCUUUGGUACGUACUAGUUUAUUGGUUUCUUCCUUCUGACGAACCAUGAUGUCAUUAAUUUGGUGUCAUGGGGAAUCAGGACUGUUACUUUGAAAAAAUUAGAGUGUUUAAAGCAGGCUUCACGCUUGAAUACAUUAGCAUGGAAUAAUGAAAUAGGACGUUUGAUUCUAUUUUGUUGGUUUUUAGGAUCGACGUAAUGAUUAAUAGGGAUAGUUGGGGGCAUUAGUAUUCAAUUGUCAGAGGUGAAAUUCUUGGAUUUAUUGAAGACUAACUACUGCGAAAGCAUUUGCCAAGGAUGUUUUCAUUAAUCAAGAACGAAAGUUAGGGGAUCGAAGACGAUCAGAUACCGUCGUAG